rnacentral:misc_RNA from 1 species
AACUUUUAACAACGGAUCUCUUGGCUCUUGCAACGAUGAAGAACGCAGCGAAAUGCGAUACGUAAUGUGAAUUGCAGAAUUCAGUGAAUCAUCGAAUCUUUGAACGCACCUUGCGCCCCUUGGCAUUCCGAGGGGCACACCCGUUUGAGUGUCGUGAACAUCCUCAACCUGCUUCGUUCUAUCGAACCAAGUAGGCUUGGAAUUUGGAGGUUUUUCUGCUGGCUUCCUCUGAAGCCAGCUCCUCUUAAAUCUAUCAGUGGGAUCCGCUUUGCUAGAUCCUCGACGUUGAUAAGAUGUUUCUACGUCUUGGGUUUCGCUCGGGAAGGACCUGCUUCUAACCGUCCCCAUCGGGGACAAUGUUCGAGAGCCGAUCGCCCUUCACGGGGUGGGAAGCUUUUCGACCCAUGAAACCUUGACCUCAAAUCGGGUGAGACUACCCGCUGAACUUAAGCAUAUCAAUAAGCGGA